rnacentral:rRNA from 1 species
CUACGGGUGGCAGCAGCGGGGAAUAUUGCACAAUGGAGGAAACUCUGAUGCAGCAACGCCGCGUGGAGGAUGACACUUUUCGGAGCGUAAACUCCUUUUAUAUAGGAAGAAGAUGGCGGUACUAUAUGAAUAAGCGCCGGCUAACUCCGUGCCAGCAGCCGCGGUAAUACGGAGGGCGCAAGCGUUACUCGGAAUCACUGGGCGUAAAGAGCGUGUAGGCGGAUUAAAAAGUCAGAAGUGAAAUCCUAUAGCUUAACUAUAGAACUGCUUCUGAAACUCUUAAUCUAGAAUAUGGGAGAGGUAGAUGGAAUUUCUGGUGUAGGGGUAAAAUCCGUAGAGAUCAGAAGGAAUACCGAUUGCGAAGGCGAUCUACUAGAACAUUAUUGACGCUGAGACGCGAAAGCGUGGGGAGCAAACAGGAUUAGAUACCCCGGUAGUC